CCUUUUAAGAGCUACACCAAACUAGAGUAGAUAUAGUAAUUUACUAUUUCAAAAUAGAGCUUUAUGAAGAAGGAA
rnacentral:ncRNA from 1 species